rnacentral:misc_RNA from 1 species
GAAUCAAAGCCAAUAUACAGACAUUCACAUUCCAGUAUAAGGAAGUUCAGUUCAUUUUAAAAAAAUAGUAUACCUUCAAAAUAUAGAAAUACAAACUUGAUAAUGUUCACUGGCUGAGAUAUACAGCUUGAGAAUAUCCAUGAUCUUUAUCACUUUCCCGAGAAACAGUAGGAAAAUAUCAGCAAACAAUCCCUAAGUGAAUAAAAGUUCACAGGUUUAAGGGCAACAAGAUGAGAACCAUCAACAAUUCUUUCCAUAUCCUAUUAAAGCAUCUUGCAUUGUGUCCUCAAAAAUAAACCACCCAUCUUCUAACUAUAUAUAUAUCUUCUAACUAUAUAUAUAUCGGCCGUUUAUUAAAUUCUCAUAUCGAUCCACCAGCUCCAGUGUAUCCUAGCUACUCUGGACAAGGUAAGUAUUGUUGGGUGGUCAAGAAAUGGCUGCAAGCAAUCUUCAAUUAAGCAAUGCUAAAUUACUUUCUGUUUUAGAUGCAAAAAGCAAAUCGUACGGGAUGGAAUCCAUAAAGUGCAGAGGCAGGUGUCAAAUUAUGAUGUCCACAAAGUAUUCAUAGUAUGUAACUGACCAAAAUCAGUAGAUUUCAAGGACAUCUUGUAAAGCUCCCUGAGCUUUCCAGUAUCAGGCCUGUUAGAUGCUGAGGUUGGCUGGACAGCAGCUGGAGAUCUAUUUGUAUUUGCAGAGAGCAUUGAAGCCAACAUUUUCUUUAAGAGCAUCUGUAAAUGACCCCAAAAUUGGGCAUGUACCUCAGGAUAAUCAGUUCCAAACGAAUCUGAAGUCGCUUCAGAUACAAAGCGUCCUUCAAGCAUGCGAGAUAGAGCAGAUUCUAGCAUCUGGAACAAUAGCUACUCAUCAGUAGAAUAUUCGUUAGAUAGAAGCAGUUGUGAUUAAACCUGUCAAUUGCUUCACCACUUUUUGACUAUUAGAUACUCGUUGACACAGAGGGGGGGUUUGAUAACAUCACUAAGCAUUUAAAAUUAAAAAUUUCAGAACUUUUUUAUUUUAAAUUUGUUUUGAUAAUGCACAUCUACAUAUCGUUUAAAAGUUUCAAUCAAGCGAAAAUUCUCUUAAAAUAGCAAGUCAAAAUUUUUAAUUUCAAAUAAAAAGUCACAUAUAUCAAACUAAUUUAUUAGAUUUAGCACUUUAUUUUCAGCAUAUACCAAACAACUUUAUAAUUUAAAAUUUACAUCAUUUAUGUCAUUCAACACUUUUAACUCUCAAAUUUUCAGUUUUACAAAAUGCUACCUAAGUGAAAUGAGUGUAACUUCGAAAUUUACACCAAAUGCUUAACAUAAAAACUCAGAUAUUUUAAUUACUCCAUCCAGCCUUUGUUAUAAUUCUAAGUUUGACCUAGCAGGUUCAAAAAGCAAUACCUCAGAUUUUCAAAAGACACUAAUGUUUGGCACCAUUCUACCUUCUGUAAUAAUUAUAAACAUUUUAUGCUAAAGAAAAUCAACCAACAUCUUUCUUAAAAAGUGCUGCUGUUAAAUAAGAAGUAAGUUGAAGAACGUACUGCGUUUGGAUGUAAGACACUAGAGAGGCUUAAUGAAAGUGCUGAUCUUUCUGUAAGAAUAGUUAUAUACAUGCUGGGAUGUGUCUUUGGUCCAUAAAAUUCUAUUGCUUUUUGCCAGUUCCUCUCAGCCAAGGAAGCAUAUUGCUUCACCCGCUGGAUAAUGCCAUUUUCACCUUUAGGCAAGUUCUUAUGAUCUGACUCCAAAAAUUUUAAACAGCAGUCUCUUUGGCAGCAAGCAAGCUGAAAGUAAGCAUAGGCAGCCUCCUGCUUGCGUAAUUCACCCAAAGAUUCAUACACAGACAACGCCUCCCUAAUGGCAUCAUUGGCCGAAAUCUCAUGCUUUCUCAAUUCUGUCCUAGCUCUUUUAUCACCAGGACUAAUAUGAACUUCCAAGGCUCCAUUCUCAUAGACUUCUGCAGUAAUAUCUUCUCUAGCCAAAAGCAUGCCAAGCCUCAGAUAUGUAUGGGCAUAUUGUGUAUAUACUUCAUUCAUCAGGUUCUUUGACUCUAAGUUGUCCUCUUCUGCAAUAGCAAUCAGUUCUGAUUUUGCUGCCCCAUAAUAUUUAAGUGAUUCAGAAUAUUCCAGUUUUGCAGUUUGCAAAGCUUGUUUACAUGUUUUAUGGAAGAUUGAGAGGGCUUUCAAACUUUCAAACUUUGAUACCAUCUCUUCAGCCAAUGCUCGUCUGCCAUGGCCUAAAUUACAAUUGAUUAAUAUGAUGUUGGUGUGAUCAGAAACUUCUCUAAAUGCAGAUAUGGCACCAGCAAAUGCAAGUUCCGCUUUUUUCAACUCUUUUCUUCCAAGCCUAUUUCGACCCAGUUCAUUGCAAACCCACCCUAUCUUUUUAAUUACAGAUUGUAGUUCAACUGAGCCUGUAGAAAUUCCAGCCAAUGCUUUUCUGGCUUCUUCAUAACAACUUAAAGCAGUAGAAAGAUUGUGUUCUGCAUCUCCAGCAACAAAAUCACUAACAUACUUAAAUAUCCCACCAUUCUUCAUUUUUGGCAUUUCUUUUGAAGUGGUUUCACUUUGAAAUGGCACCAUGAACCCUUCUUCAUGCACUUCCUCUCCACUGUUAGAAUUAAUGGUUACUGAGAAAUUUACUCCAAACUUAUCCGCUGCAACUCCAGAUGGUGCUACUGAAGUAUCGCCAUUUCUAUCAAGCUGGAGAUAUUCACUGUUAGAACUCCUAUUCUCCACUCUCUGAUGACAGUGGCUAUCAUCAGCGUCUCCACAGAGUGAGGAAGUGGUACUCUUUACAUAAGAUCUUUUACCAUGCUUCCUGCCAUAAACUACAGAGUGCUUAUCUCCACUGCUACUGCUGGCACUGCUCCCACUGCUGACCCUAUCACUUUGGCAGCUGCAGUUUACUAAAGAACAUGAACUGCAAUUCUGCAUAUACUGACCCAGCCUCUUCUUUAGCCUUUGAACUUCCUUCACAACCUCAGAUGACAUUCUCAAUUCUUUGGCAGAAGGAUUCCUGUCUGCUUGUAUUGAGAGCUCUUUACCCUUUAUGAAAUGAAACUCAACAUAAACAUCUCCAACCAAUGUCCAUGCCUUUGCCCAAAAGAGGUACGUGGAAGAAAAACGCUCAAAAGCAAGACAGUCAUCAUCAGAACUGGAUUCCAUUUCCUUUGCAUCACCAAUAUAUGAUAUUUUCUUCUCAUUUUUGUCAUUGCAUUUUGUUAGGGAUGAAUAUUUAAUCAUCGAGGAAAUAAACCUUGUAUCCUCCAAAUACUGUGGCAUCGAUCCAUAAACAGAACAUGCUAAUUCUACUACUUUCAACGCUUGAUGCAACUGGUUAUCUUCCUUAUAAGCUUGUCCCAAUGCCAAAUAAGAUUCUCCAAGCAAAAGAACAAGCUUCCACAAUUUGUAGUCUAUUUUGGAUGUUGGUAGCCAUUCUCGAAUGUCACAAACUUCUAUACAAUCAGCAUCACCACAAGCACAAACAGAAAGGUUUAUGGAUGAAGGUGGCCUAUCAUGAGUACUACUGACCUGAUCAAUUAAUUCUGCUUCAGUACCUUGUAGCUGGCGCAUCCAU